rnacentral:tRNA from 1 species
GCCUGGGUGGCUCAGUCGGUUAAGCGUCCGACUUCAGCUCAGGUCAUGAUCUUGCAGUCCGUGAGUUCGAGCCCCGCCUCAGGCU